GAUGAAGAACGCAGCGAAAUGCGAUAAGUAGUGUGAAUUGCAGAAUUCAGUGAAUCAUCGAAUCUUUGAACGCACAUUGCGCCCCUUGGUAUUCCAUGGGGCAUGCCUGUUCGAGCGUCAUUUGUACCUUCAAGCUCUGCUUGGUGUUGGGUGUUUGUCUCGCCUCUGCGUGUAGACUCGCCUCAAAACAAUUGGCAGCCGGCGUAUUGAUUUCGGAGCGCAGUACAUCUCGCGCUUUGCACUCAUAACGACGACGUCCAAAAGUACAUUUUUACACUCUUGACCUCGGAUCAGGUAGGGAUACCCGCUGAACUUAAGCAUAUCAUAACGGAGGA
rnacentral:misc_RNA from 1 species